rnacentral:rRNA from 1 species
UACGUAGGGUGCGAGCGUUGUCCGGAAUUAUUGGGCGUAAAGAGCUCGUAGGCGGUGUGUCGCGUCGGCCGUGAAAACCUGGGGCUUAACUCUGGGCGUGCGGUCGAUACGGGCAUCACUAGAGUUCGGCAGGGGAGACUGGAAUUCCUGGUGUAGCGGUGAAAUGCGCAGAUAUCAGGAGGAACACCGGUGGCGAAGGCGGGUCUCUGGACAGUUCCUGACACUGAGACGAAGGCCAGGGGAGCAAACGGG